CAAAUCCAUCUUGUAGUUAUCCUUUAACUUCUUUUUCAUUGGUCAUAUUUUUUAAUACAAAGAUAACAAUUUUUGACCAUUGAUUAUUUUUGAUCUAAUAGUCUAAAAUUAUUCAACAACUUAUCUCUAAAAAAAAAGUCUAAAAUUAUUCUUUUAUCUCCACUUAUCUCUUCUCCUUUACGCCUCCUUCUUCUCUCGUGAGUUCUUCACAGUCUCAUAUUAUCAUCUCUCUCACUUUCUGUCCAAUGUCACAUCUCUCUCACACACACGAUUCAUCUCACACACACAAGAUGCGUUAGAUCUGUCUACACUCACCGGUGGUCGUGAGCAGAGUCGCUGGAAGUGGGCCCAUGACGAAUCAGAGACUCCGAGGGUGAGAAUCGGAAGAAGAAGACGACGCCGUAUAGGUGGUUGAGAACGGUGGCCACACCACUCAAUUCUGGUGCGGCUUCUUUUGUUCUCAGGAUUCAUUCUGGUGGUGAAGGAAGCAGAAGAAGCUUGAUACAAGCCAAAAGGUGCCAUAGUCGUCGCAAAGGUUCAAGCAAGGAGCAAGUAGGUCUCAAAAGAAAAAGGGGGAGGUUUCAGAAUUCCCAAGGAGGUGGUCUCACGUGGUGGUUGAAGGCGGCUGAAUUAAACGGAGAUAGGUUUUGUUAUUAGGUUAAGACGUUAGUUAGUAAACAGGUUUAGGUUUAAGCUUGGUUUUCUCGCUCCUAUAAUGGUCUUAGUUGCUCUUUGUCCGUUAACGCAUGACUGAAGAAUGCAAUUGAUGUCAAUCUUGAAUCAGUAGAGUUCCCACUCCCA